rnacentral:rRNA from 1 species
CGAGGAGGAGGCUACUAGUAUUAAUACUACUGGAUAGUGGACGUUACUCGCAGAAUAAGCACCGGCUAACUCUGUGCCAGCAGCCGCGGUAAUACAGAGGGUGCGAGCGUUAAUCGGAUUUACUGGGCGUAAAGCGUGCGUAGGCGGCUUUUUAAGUCGGAUGUGAAAUCCCCGAGCUUAACUUGGGAAUUGCAUUCGAUACUGGGAAGCUAGAGUAUGGGAGAGGAUGGUAGAAUUCCAGGUGUAGCGGUGAAAUGCGUAGAGAUCUGGAGGAAUACCGAUGGCGAAGGCAGCCAUCUGGCCUAAUACUGACGCUGAGGUACGAAA